rnacentral:snRNA from 1 species
AUCGCUUCUUGGCCUUUUGGCUAAGAUCAAGUGUAGUAUCUGUUCUUAUCAGUUUAAUAUUUUGAGUAAGGUAAUAAUGAGCUGUUUUACAGGAAACUGGCCAAAGGGUUUGCCAACUUCUUUAGGGCCAAUUCUGACAUCUGGCCAUGUCAGUAAGACAGCAAGGUAU